rnacentral:rRNA from 1 species
UGAGUUUGAUCCUGGCUCAGGAUGAACGCUAGCUACAGGCUUAACACAUGCAAGUCGAGGGGCAGCAUGAGAUCAGCUUGCUGAUCUUGAUGGCGACCGGCGCACGGGUGAGUAACGCGUAUCCAACCUUCCCCUGAGUAGAGGAUAGCCCGGCGAAAGUCGGAUUAAUACUCUAUGUUGUCAGACGAAGACAUCUGAAUCUGACCAAAGAUUAAUCGCUCAGGGAUGGGGAUGCGUCUGAUUAGGUUGUUGGCGGGGUAACGGCCCACCAAGCCAUCGAUCAGUAGGGGUUCUGAGAGGAAGGUCCCCCACAUUGGUACUGAGACACGGACCAAACUCC